GUAGAUCCCAGGUUCUCUACUAAGCUCAGAAAAGAAAAACAAGCAAAAAAAGAUAUCAAACGUGUGGAUCUGAAGAUCUCCUCUGCUGCUGUAUCAGACUCUGCUCUGUACUACUGUGCUCUGAGGCCCACAGUGACAGGAAACACCAGAACACUGUACAAAAACACAACCAAUUAUAUGAAUUAUAGAUAGAUUAUGAAUGCACAUCAAUACUAUUGUAUAUGAAUACUAUUAUUGUUAUUUAUUUACAGUAUACUCUGUAAGUCCGCGACCAAAUGUUGAUUUAAAAACAAUUCAGCUUGAUUACAGUAUGUACAGUAUAGGCACGCCAAGUGAAUAUGCUUUUACCACCAAAAUAAACAUUAUCCCUAAUUUUUUUUCUGUGUGGAUAUGCACAUCUAAACAGAGAUUAUAAAAAGUGCUAUAACAAAAACCAAAAGAAUGAAGAAUUAAUACAGAUUAUAUUGAAAAAUUCUUUAUCAUACAAUAGCGUUAGUUAGUAACCACAAGAGGGCGCUAUGCACUAUAGGACGUGACUAGUAAUCAUAUGAAAGUUGUGUAUGAAACAGAUUUGAGCUGCAUUUCCCGAAAGCUUUGUAAACUUAAGUACAUCGUAGACUCAUUCAAACCAAUGAAGCUGGGAGGUGGGGUUUAAAACAUUGAUAUCUGAUGUGAUCUUGAAAAACUGCAAGUCUGUUAGAGAGAGAAUAAGAAACACACACAAUGAUUCUCAAUUCUGUAAUUGUGCUUUUUGCCUUUACAUAUGCAGCAUAUGGAAAUGAAAUUAAACCAACCAAAACUUUGGAGUUUGCUGAAGAGGAUUCAAGUGUUAAAUUAUCCUACAGUUAUUCAUCUGCAUUAACUCUCUACUGGUACCGUCAGUAUCCUGGAUCAGCUCCUCAGUUCAUUGUGUUCAUCUCAGAUGGAUCAAAACAAGAUCAGGAGUCUAUUGUAGAUUCCAGAUUCACUGCCAAAGUCACCAAAGACAAAGACAGCCAUGUGGAUCUGGAGAUCUCCUCUGCAUCUAUAUCAGAUUCUGCUCUGUACUACUGUGCUCUGGAGCCCACAGUGACAGAAAACACAAGAACACUGUACAAAAACUUGUUUCACAGUGUGAUGGCUGCAGACCAGAUUGGGCCAAACAAGGGUGAAAAUGUCCUCAGUACAGAAGGAGAGUCUGUGACACUGAGCUGCUCCUAUGAUACAAGCAGCAGAUAUGUUAGACUUUACUGGUACAGACUGCAUCCUAAUGGAGAACCUAAAGUUGGAGCCCAGUGA